rnacentral:tRNA from 1 species
AACCACUAGACGAUGGGGGC